rnacentral:tRNA from 1 species
UGCGGGGUCGUCUAAUGGUAGGACAGCAGCCUUUGGAGCUGCUUGUCUUGGUUCGAAUCCAAGCCCCGCAGCCA